rnacentral:rRNA from 1 species
CAGUAGCCGCGGUAAUACGUAGGUGGCGAGCGUUGUCCGGAAUUAUUGGGCGUAAAGGGAGCGCAGACGGACAUAUAAGUCCAUCUUAAAAGUGCGGGGCUCAACCCCGUGAGGGGAUGGAAACUGUAUGCCUUGAGUGCAGGAGAGGAAAGCGGAAUUCCCAGUGUAGCGGUGAAAUGCGUAGAUACUGGGAGGAACACCAGUGGCGAAGGCGGCUUUCUGGACUGUAACUGACGCUGAGGCUCGAAAGCCAGGGGAGCGAACGGGAUUAGAUACCCCUGUAGUCCCUGUCUCUUAUACC